rnacentral:sRNA from 1 species
UUACAGCGCUGCAAGUGUUGACCUGUUCAGUCAUAAGUAAUACCGAGUUUUUUUAGCACUUCCCUCGUGCUGGCUUUACUUAAGGUUGGCUGAGAAAAAAUGAACAUUAAACAUACAGGAAAGCACUAUGUCUAACGUAGUAACUGGUACAGUUAAAUUCUUCAACGAAACUAAAGGUUUCGGUUUCAUCACUCAAGAACAAGGUCCAGACGUGUUUGUACACUUUUCUGCGAUCAACGUUUCUGGCUUCAAAACUCUUGCUGAAGGCCAAAAAGUUCAGUUUGAAGUUGCUGAUGGCAAAAAAGGUCCAGAAGCUCAAAACGUAACGCCUCUUUAAUAUUUAAAGCGCGUACAAUGAGUGUAAAAAAGGCAGCUUUGGCUGCCUUUUUGCGU